rnacentral:tRNA from 1 species
AUUUAUGUAGUUUACUUAAAACAUUACAUUUUCACUGUAAAAACAUUAUUUUAUAAUCAUAAGUU